GACGAACGCUGGCGGCGUGCCUAAUACAUGCAAGUAGAACGCUGAAGAGAGGAGCUUGCUCCUCUUGGAUGAGUUGCGAACGGGUGAGUAACGCGUAGGUAACCUGCCUUGUAGCGGGGGAUAACUAUUGGAAACGAUAGCUAAUACCGCAUAACAAUGGAUGACACAUGUCAUUUAUUUGAAAGGGGCAAUUGCUCCACUACAAGAUGGACCUGCGUUGUAUUAGCUAGUAGGUGAGGUAAUGGCUCACCUAGGCGACGAUACAUAGCCGACCUGAGAGGGUGAUCGGCCACACUGGGACUGAGACACGGCCCAGACUCCUACGGGAGGCAGCAGUAGGGAAUCUUCGGCAAUGGGGGCAACCCUGACCGAGCAACGCCGCGUGAGUGAAGAAGGUUUUCGGAUCGUAAAGUUCUGUUGUAAGUCAAGAACGGGUGUGAGAGUGGAAAGUUCACACUGUGACGGUAGCUUACCAGAAAGGGACGGCUAACUACGUG
rnacentral:rRNA from 1 species